rnacentral:rRNA from 1 species
UUGACCUCAAAUCAGGUAGGACUACCCGCUGAACUUAAGCAUAUCAAUAAGCGGAGGAAAAGAAACUAACAAGGAUUCCCCUAGUAACUGCGAGUGAAGCGGGAAGAGCUCAAAUUUAAAAUCUGGUGGUCCUCGCGGCCGUCCGAGUUGUAAUCUGGAGAAGCGUUUUCCGCGUCGGACCGUGUACAAGUCUUCUGGAAUGGAGCGUCGUAGAGGGUGAGAAUCCCGUCUCUGACACGGACCGCCGAUGCUUUUGUGAUACGCUCUCGAAGAG